UACGGGGGGGGCAAGCGUUAUUCGGAAUUAUUGGGCGUAAAGGGCGCGUAGGCGGCUUGGCAAGUGGAUGGUGAAAUCCCUCGGCUUAACCGAGGAACUGCCGUCCAAACUGCUUUGCUUGAGGCCGGGAGAGGUGAGUGGAAUUCCCAGUGUAGCGGUGAAAUGCGUAGAUAUUGGGAGGAACACCAGUGGCGAAGGCGGCUCACUGGACCGGUACUGACGCUGAUGCGCGAAAGCGUGGGGAGCAAACGGG
rnacentral:rRNA from 1 species